UCAUUAGCCUUAUGCAGCUCUCAAAGCUAGAGAAUAUCUUGAUAAGCCUGCAAUACAUGAGACAAUGGUGAAGGUUAGCGCUUAUCUGCUUGGAGAAUACAGCCAUCUUUUGGCCAGACGACCUGGGUGUAGCCCAAAGGACAUUUUUGUCAUUAUACAUGAGAAGCUUCCUACUGUAUCGACUCCAACAAUAUCCAUUCUUCUCUCAACAUACGCAAAGAUUUUGAUGCACUCUCAACCACCAGAUCCCGAAUUACAAAACUAGAUCUGGGCAAUAUUCAGCAAGUGAGUUUAUAAUAAAUAG